GCAGUAGUAGCUCAAAGGCAGAGCGCCGGAUUGUGGCUUCGGAGACGAGAGUUCAAUUCUCUCUUAUUGCC
rnacentral:tRNA from 1 species